rnacentral:rRNA from 1 species
GGGCGUACACACACGCUACAAUGGGAAGGGACGAAUAGGUUGCGAAGCCGCGAGGUGGAGCCAAUCCAGCAAAACUUACCCUCCAGUUCAGAUUGCAGGCUGCAACUCGCCUGCAUGAAGUUGGAGUUGCUAGUAAACGCAGGUCAGCCAUACUGCGUUGAAUACGUUCCCGGGGCUU